AUUGAACGCUGGCGGCAGGCCUAACACAUGCAAGUCGAGCGGCGCGGGGGACGGGUGAGUAAUGCCUAGGAAUCUGCCUGGUGGUGAGGUAUAACUACCGGGAGCGGGACCUAUUAACACAGGCUAUCAGAGCGGCCUAGGUCGGAGUUGCUAGUUGGUGGGGUAAAGGCCCACCAAGGCGACGAUGCGUAGCUGGUCUGAGAGGAUGAUCAGUCACACUGGAACUGAGACACGGUCCAGACUCCUACGGGAGGCAGCAGUGGGGAAUAUUGGACAAUGGGCGAAAGCCUGAUCCAGCAAUGCCGCGUGUGUGAAGAAGGUCUUCGGAUUGUAAAGCACUUUUAGUUGGGAGGCGUUACCAACAGAAUAAGCCCCGGCUAACUUCGUGCCAGCAGCCGCGGUAAUUC
rnacentral:rRNA from 1 species